GCCUGGGUGGCUCAGUGGUUGAGCAUCUGCCUUCAGCUCAGGUCAUGAUCCCGGGGUCCUGGGAUCGAGUCCCACAUCAGGCU
rfam:Canis lupus familiaris chromosome 37, whole genome shotgun sequence.